GGCGGCGUAGCUCAGCUGGUCAGAGCACACGGUUCAUACCCGUGCUGUCGGUGGUUCGAAUCCACUCGCCGCUACCA
rnacentral:tRNA from 1 species